rnacentral:rRNA from 1 species
GACGAACGCUGGCGGCGGGCUUAACACAUGCAAGUCGAACGGAAAGGCCCCGUUGGGGGUCCUCGGGGGGCGAACGGGAGCGGAACACGUGAGUAACCGGCCCUUGACUUCGGGAGAACAUCAGGAAACUGGGGCGAAUACUGGAUAGGAAUACUUGCUGCAUGGGGGGGGGUGGAAAGCAUCGGGGGUUGUGGAUGGUGGCGCGGCGUAUGAGCGUGUUGGUGGGGGAGGGGUUUACCAAGGCUUUGGCGGGUAGCCGGCCUGAGAGGGCGACAGUCCACCUUGGGCCUGAGUCCCGGCCCAGACUCCUACGGGAGGCAGCAGUGGGGAAUCUUGAACCAUGGGCGGCCGCCCGAUGCAGAAACGCCGCGUCCGGUAUGACGGACUCUUCGUUGUAAACCGCUUUCAGCAGGGGCUCAGCUUGUGCUGACGGUACCUGCAGAAGAAGCACCGGCUAACUCCGUG